GCCAGCGUGGCUUAGUGCUUUGAGUGUUGGACUAUGACUCUGGAGACCAGGGUUCGAUUCUCAGCUCGGCCA